rnacentral:rRNA from 1 species
AUUGAACGCUGGCGGCAGGCCUAACACAUGCAAGUCGAGCGGAUGAAGGGAGCUUGCUCCUGGAUUCAGCUGCGGACGGGUGGGUAAUUCCUAGGAAUCUGCCUGGUCUUUGAGGAUAACGUCCGGAAACGGGCGCUAAUACCACAUACGUCCUGAGUUUGAAAGGGGGGGAUCUUCGGACCUCACGCUAUCAGCUGAGCCUAGGUCGGAUUAGCUAGUUGGUUGGGUAAAGGCCUACCAAGGCGACGAUCCGUAACUGGUCUGAGAGGAUGAUCAGUCACACUGGAACUGAGACACGGUCCAGACUCCUACGGGAGGCAGCAGUGGGGAAUAUUGGACAAUGGGCGAAAGCCUGAUGCAGCCACGCCGCGUGUGUGAAGAAGGUCUUCGGAUUGUAAAGCACUUUUAGUUGGGAGGAAGGGAAGUAAGUUAAUACCUGGCUGUUUUGACGUUACCAGCAGAAUAAGCCCCGGCUAACUUCGUG